AUUGAACGCUGGCGGCAUGCCUUACACAUGCAAGUCGAACGGAUUCUUGGGGCUUGCUCCAAGAGUUAGUGGCGAACGGGUGAGUAAUGCAUCGGAACGUGCCCAAUCGUGGGGAUAACGUAGCGAAGUUACGCUAUACCGCAUACGUCCUGAGGGAGAAAGCAGGGGACGUCGCAAGAGCCUUGCGCGAAUGGAGCGGCCGAUGUCGGAUUAGCUAGUUGGCGGGGUAAAAGCCCACCAAGGCGACGAUCCGUAGCUGGUCUGAGAGGACGACCAGCCACACUGGGACUGAGACACGGCCCAGACUCCUACGGGAGGCAGCAGUGGGGAAUUUUGGACAAUGGGCGAAAGCCUGAUCCAGCCAUGCCGCGUGAGUGAAGAAGGCCU
rnacentral:rRNA from 1 species